rnacentral:rRNA from 1 species
AUGAACGCUGGCGGCGUGCCUAAUACCUGCAAGUCGAGCGAACGGACGAGAAGCUUGCUUCUCUGAUGUUAGCGGCGGACGGGUGAGUAACACGUGGAUAACCUACCUAUAAGACUGGGAUAACUUCGGGAAACCGGAGCUAAUACCGGAUAAUAUUUUGAACCGCAUGGUUCAAAAGUAAAAGACGGUCUUGCUGUCACUUAUAGAUGGAUCCGCGCUGCAUUAGCUAGUUGGUAAGGUAACGGCUUACCAAGGCAACGAUGCAUAGCCGACCUGAGAGGGUGAUCGGCCACACUGGAACUGAGACACGGUCCAGACUCCUACGGGAGGCAGCAGUAGGGAAUCUUCCGCAAUGGGCGAAAGCCUGACGGAGCAACGCCGCGUGAGUGAUGAAGGUCUUCGGAUCGUAAAACUCUGUUAUUAGGGAAGAACAUAUGUGUAAGUAACUGUGCACAUCUUGACGGUACCUAAUCAGAAAGCCACGGCUAACUACAUG